ACACAGUGAUCGGAGCGGGAGCCUCAGUGAUCGGAGUGGGACGCAUAGUGAGCGAAACGGCAUGUUGAGUGAAAGGAACGGGUCACUAAGUGAUCGGAACGGGACGCUCAGUGAUCGGAACGGACUGCUGAGUGAAAGGAACGGGACGCUUGGCCGGAGCAGCGCCAGCCGGAGCCCGAGUCCGCGUCGGAGCCCCUACCCGCUCUACACUCUGUACUCGCAGCGGGACUAUAGACCGGAGGGCUACGGUCGCGGUCGCAGUCGCGGACACAGCCCCGCGUACGCGUGACGACGCGCGGAACCGGAUGGAGCGUAACGCGCGGACGGACUGACUUGAACAUCGUCUGCGUGGUUGGUGUCUUUGAUCUCAGAGCGUCGGGGUGUACUGUCGUCUGUGUGUAUGAUCUUGUGGUCCAGAUUGUAACAUUCCACCGCUGGGCGUAGGCCUCCUUAUACGAGAAGGGUUAGUUUAUGGCUUCAUAAUUUACAGUUAUGUAGCCCAUAGACCUUGAUAAAUAGGCCGUAUUACGUAAUUUUUUGCUCCAUUCCAUAAUUUAAGUAAUGAUAUUUUAUGAUGAACCAGAGUACACGAAACUGUACGGAUUUGGUCUUUUUUUAUUUUUGAGACUGUUUCUGUGGUAUAAGAAAUUACUGAUGCAACUUCGAAUACGUAUUGUUAGAGAUUACUCAAAGAGUAUUCGUCACAAGGACCAGCUUUGGAUUAAAGAUAUCAUAUGAAGUAACAAACUAAACAAGAAUACAGUCGAAUCGAGAACCAUCUCGAUUUAUUUGUGAAUUUGCGACGACAGUACACCAAAAAAAUCUAAAAAAUGCAAAAUAUUUGUAAAUAAUUGUAUAGAUAUGAUUUUACGUUAAUACGCCUAAUGAUUAAGCAAAUUAACGAUCAUUAAUUAUAUGUAAAAUGAGAUUCAUAUAAAAAAAAAAAACAGUAUUUUAACAAUUUUCAAUAUACUCAUCGUAGCCAUAUACGUAAUUGAUUUGUUUUGGGAGUUUACUCCUUGGGAAGAGAAUGUAGGGAGUGACUGAGAAACAACGAAACAGCAAUCAGGCUUUACAGCGCUUUCAGCUGUAGCGAGAUAUAUAAUAGCAAGCGUCAUAGAAGUUUUUAAUUGUCACACACCUUUGUCUCGUUACAUUUCAUUAUUUUACAUAUAAUUGAAGAUGUCGGACUGUAUGAGUUUUUUUUUUGUUCUUAUAGUAUAGAGUUUAACCGAGUGUUACAGUUUUUGUAACAUUGCAAUUUUAACGUUACAUGUUUUGUAAUUUUUUAACUUGUGACUAUGUUGAAGUCUAUUAUUUAGACUAGACAAAUUUAUUUUAUAUAUAUUUGACAAGAUAGUAUUGUAGUUUUUGUUAAAAAUAAUACGAACUACAUUUUUACUCCCUUGCGUAUAUAAACAAUGUGAUUAAAUCACAGUUGUAUUUUAAUUUUUAUUACUUUUUAAUUAAAUUAAAUAAUUAUGAAUUAGAUAUGUUGAAGAAAUAAAAUUUAUAAUGAUCUGUAUUUUGAUAUGAGUAAUAAAAAUAUACAUGAUUUAGAUGAUUGAUGAUAAUUGAUGAUACAUGAUUUUUACUACAUAAUGAUCAGUUUUACACAUUUUAUUUAAAUUUUUUAACUUCUUGUAUAUUUGUUAUGCAAUAAAAAUUAAAAAAGAAAA